rnacentral:rRNA from 1 species
GUGGGUAGCGGUGAAAUUCCAAUCGAGCCCGGAGAUAGCUGGUUCUCCCCGAAAUAGCUUUAGGGCUAGCCUCAAGGUGAGAGAUACGGAGGUAGAGCACUGAAUGUCCUAGGGGGUAUUGCACCUACCGAAGACUAUCAAACUCCGAAUGCCGUCAUCUUAUACUUGGGAGUCAGACUGUGGGUGAUAAGAUUCAUAGUCGAAAGGGCAACAGCCCAGAUCGUCAGCUAAGGUCCCUAAAUGUAAGUUAAGUGGUAAAGGAUGUGGGAUUGCACAGACAACCAGGAUGUUGGCUUAGAAGCAGCCACUCAUUCAAAGAGUGCGUAAUAGCUCACUGGUCGAGUGAUCCUGCGCCGAAGAUUUCCGGGGCUAAAACUUACUACCGAAGCUACGGCAUCAGUAAUGAUGGGUAGGGGAGCUUCCCAUACGGGUUGAAGCAUGACCGUAAGGACAUGUGGACAGUAUGGGAGUGAGAAUGUUGGCAUGAGUAGCGAGAUGUGGGUGAGAAUCCCACAGGCCGUAAACCCAAGGUUUCCAGGGGAAGGUUCGUCCGCCCUGGGUUAGUCGGGACCUAAGCUGAGGCCGAAAGGCGUAGGUGAUGGACAACAGGUUGAUAUUCCUGUACUACCGAU